rnacentral:sRNA from 12 species
AAUGAUACUUCCCCGAAUCUUUCUGUUGAGGGGCUCGCGAAGAAGGCAAGCGAGGGAAUGCCCACCGCGUUUGAAAAAGAAUGCGGUCGGAUUUC